rnacentral:rRNA from 1 species
GCUGGCGAGAUGCUUUACACAUGCAAGUCAUACGAGAGUUUUUAACUCAAGUGGCGGACGGGUGAGUAACACGUAAGAAUUUACCUUUAGGAGGGGGAUAACAAUAAGAAAUUGCUGCUAAUACCCCAUAUGCUUUCGAGUGAAAUGGAUUUUUCCGCCUAAAGAGAAGCUUGCGUCUGAUUAGCUUGUUGGUAAGGUAAUGGCUUACCAAGGCGACGAUCAGUAUCUGGUUUGAGAGGAUGAUCAGACACACUGGAACUGAGACACGGUCCAGACUCCUACGGGAGGCAGCAGUGGGGAAUUUUCCGCAAUGGGCGAAAGCCUGACGGAGCAAUCUCGCGUGAGGGAUGACGGCCUAUGGGUUGUAAACCUCUUUUUUCAGGGAGGAAUCAAAUGACGUGUACCUGAAGAAUAAGCAUCGGCUAACUCCGUGCCAGCAGCCGCGGUAAGACGGAGGAUGCAAGUGUUAUCCGGAAUCACUGGGCGUAAAGCGUCUGUAGGUGGUUUAGUAAGUCAACUGUUAAAUCUUGAAGCUUAAC